UACGAAGGGGGCUAGCGUUGCUCGGAAUCACUGGGCGUAAAGCGCACGUAGGCGGCUUUCUAAGUCAGGGGUGAAAUCCUGGAGCUCAACUCCAGAACUGCCUUUGAUACUGGGAAGCUCGAGUCCGGAAGAGGUGAGUGGAACUCCGAGUGUAGAGGUGAAAUUCGUAGAUAUUCGGAAGAACACCAGUGGCGAAGGCGGCUCACUGGUCCGGUACUGACGCUGAGGUGCGAAAGCGUGGGGAUCAAACAGG
rnacentral:rRNA from 1 species